CACGUAGGGUGCGAGCGUUGUCCGGAAUUACUGGGCGUAAAGAGCUCGUAGGUGGUUUGUCGCGUUGUUCGUGAAAACUCACAGCUUAACUGUGGGCGUGCGGGCGAUACGGGCAGACUGGAGUACUGCAGGGGAGACUGGAAGUUCCUGGUGUAGCGGUGGAAUGCGCAGAUAUCAGGAGGAACACCAGUGGCGAAGGCGCUCAUCUGGCCCAAUACUGACGCUGAGGCGCGAAAGCUAGGGGAGCAAACGGG
rnacentral:rRNA from 1 species